GGGCCCUUAACUCAGCUGGUAGAACCCUAACGCCAGGAGUACCUGAUUCGCAUUCAGGAAGCCGCGAGUUCGAAUCUCGCAGGGUCCA
rnacentral:tRNA from 1 species